rnacentral:rRNA from 1 species
CCUACGGGGGGCAGCAGUGGGGAAUAUUGCACAAUGGGGGAAACCCUGAUGCAGCAACGCCGCGUGAGUGAGGAAGUAUUUCGGUAUGUAAAGCUCUAUCAGCAGGGAAUAGAAAAGAAGGUACCUGAAAAAGAAGCCCCGGCUAACUACGUGCCAGCAGCCGCGGUAAUACGUAGGGGGCAAGCGUUAUCCGGAUUUACUGGGUGUAAAGGGAGCGUAGACGGAAAGGCAAGUCAAAAGUGAAAGCCCAAGUCUCAACCAUG